rnacentral:misc_RNA from 1 species
GGACAGCACAUUGAUCAUGCAGCUUCUCCGUGAUAAUCUGACACUGUGGACUUCUGAGGAGGACGCGAGGGAUGAGGUUAAAGAAGCUCCUAAACUCGACUCAGCUGAGGAGCAAUGAUUUGACUAUCCGAAUUUCUGUAGCGUAGUAUGUAGCUAAAAUGUAUGUUUGGGAGAUUAUGACUUUUGAACUGCUGUGGUGUGUGAAUUUAU